rnacentral:tRNA from 1 species
GCCUUCGUGGUGUAAUGGUCAGCACACUGAGAGCCGGUAUUUCAGAGGUCCGUGGUUCGAUUCCCGGCGAAGGAA